AGAGUUUGAUCCUGGCUCAGAUUGAACGCUGGCGGAAUGCUUUACACAUGCAAGUCGAACGGCAGCAUAGGUGCUUGCACCUGAUGGCGAGUGGCGAACGGGUGAGUAAUACAUCGGAACGUGCCCAGUCGUGGGGGAUAACGUAGCGAAAGUUACGCUAAUACCGCAUACGAUCUACGGAUGAAAGCGGGGGACCGUAAGGCCUCGCGCGAUUGGAGCGGCCGAUGUUAGAUUAGGUAGUUGGUGGGGUAAAGGCUCACCAAGCCGACGAUCUAUAGCUGGUCUGAGAGGAUGAUCAGCCACACUGGGACUGAGACACGGCCCAGACUCCUACGGGAGGCAGCAGUGGGGAAUUUUGGACAAUGGGCGCAAGCCUGAUCCAGCCAUUCCGCGUGCAGGACGAAGGCCUUCGGGUUGUAAACUGCUUUUGUACAGAACGAAAAGCCUUGGGUUAAUACCCUGGGGUCAUGACGGUACUGUAAGAAUAAGCACCGGCUAACUACGUACCGGCAGCCGCGGUAAU
rnacentral:rRNA from 1 species